AUCACGAUCCUAAAACCAUUAUCCAAACCUAUGAGAUUCAUUAUAAUCUUAAAAUCUAUAACAUACAGUAUAUAAUGAAUCAAAAAUAUCUUAUUUUAUUAAUUAUAAAAGUCAAUUAUAUGAAUUUGAAAGAUAAUUACAAUAAACAUCCAUCGCAUCCCAUAUGCGAUUGGCUUGUAGGGCAUUAUUCUUUCAAUCUCCCAG
rnacentral:lncRNA from 1 species